GACGAGAAGGGAGCGAGCCCGAGCUGCGGGAAACGCACACUGGGACGUCAGAGGGGAAGGGAAACUCUCUCAAGGAAGAAGUUGCUUCAGUUUCCACCCUAUAUGCCCUCAUGUGAAUGGCUAAGCAGGGGGUUAUCAGCUGGUCUGGCUUCCCCUUCAGCAUCCCCCCACAGCUGCUGAUACCAGGAGGAAGUGGGAAAGCAGCAGGGACAGCUUUAGCAAAACACUCCUGACUUCCCUUCCUCUUCAACAUGUCACUCCCUGCCUCUGCCUGGGAGGCAAAAAGGUGUGCAAAAAACCCAUGCAAAUACCUCACCAGGGGUUGUGUAAACCCUGUGGGAGGGAGACAGGGACACCCCACACUUUCAUAUACAAAUUUAACAACGUCCUUUCCUGCCCUCUCAUAUAUUAAACAUUCAUCAGCUCUUCAGGUCUCACCUGCUAUUAGUGCAGAGGAGCAAAACAGAAACUCAUAUUUCCUAAAAAGCAUCCAAGCUGCAGGCAAGGUGCUCUUCUGAGCUGUUUGGCCUUCUGCACCACCUUAAUGGGACAGAGAAGACUCAGAGGUGACAUCUGUGCCUCUUCAGUCUGUCACGCAUCCUGGCUCCCUGAUCGCCUACAGGUGCUGCUGAUUUGUUUGCUCAGUGCCUGCCUGCUGCCCUGCCUAAGAGGCAGAGUGAUGCCUUGUGAAGGCUGACCUAGAACAGAGACAAGAAUAAGAAUAAGGUGGGUGUUUAUUAGAAGGCCUCAAUGGAUACACCUUGGGCAGUACAAGAGCCCAGCCAGGGCUACACCCAAGGUGAGCCCAAAAUGGUCACAAAUGCAUGACUGGUCAUGGGGUCUCACACUUUUAUAAGUUCUGUUCCAUUUGCAUGUUGGAGUUAAUUGUCCAGUUAUAGCUUUAGCUUAUGAACUCCCAUCCUUCUUGUUUUUCUGUCUUCAGUCUAUGUUUGGUUAUGCUCAUGGACCUGAAAUUUGCAUCAUUUGUCUUUGGUCCCCAGCUAGAGAAGGAAUUGUUUUGUCUACCUACUCUGUGAAGAGAGCUUAAUCCCUUAAUAUGAAGCUCAGAGCUUCAUACUAAAGGAGUACAGCAUCUGAAAAAUAUAAAAGCUAAAACCUGAGGCAUCAAGAGAAGCUAUGGCUGCUUUUCUAACUUCAAUGAUGCAAAUUUAGUUACUUACCAAGUCUGUUAUUUGCACUGUUUCAGGCACUUGAAUCUGCUGUUUACACAAUUUGGGUGAAUGAGAAGGGCAAAUUCAGCAGUGUCUCUUUCAGUUUUGCUGCUGCCUCAGGGGGGUUACAGGCCAUGACCGAUGAGGCAGCAUAUAGCAGCUUUUUUGCUCCAGAUGCUAAAUUGUAUGGCGAAAAAAAUUAAUCCAUUCUUUUAUGCAAGAUCAUGCUGCCAACAUUUUGCUGACCAUGAGCUAGAUUUAAAUGUGAGUCUGCUGAGCAUUUAUCAAAGAUUGGGCCAUUGGGUAGAUCAUCAGUUCUACAGAAUAUUUUUAAUGUGGAGCAUAGGACAGCUCCUGACUGUCACGGGGAGAAGAGCAGCAGAAAGCAGAAAUGCAACAGUGGUCAGCUUGGGGAAGACCAUACUGUUCAUUCUUGUGAGCUAUUGCUAUUGCAUAAAUUGAGCUGGAACAACUUAUCUUAUGGGAUGAUGAAAAGAGAUUUGAUAAGAAAACUCAUGUUAUGUGUGGAAAAUACCCAAAUCCCUGGAAACUUAGGUGUGGAAUAAUGCAUUCAAGACUGAGAUCCAUAAGAGAAUAAGACAAGACGGCAGAAAUCAUAGAAACAGGACCACUGGGGAAUAAACACCUUAAGAUAUAAAAAGGAUUAACAAAAGGAUUUUGAAAAAAAGGUAAAAAAAUUACUAAGAGAUGGAGAUCAAUGGUUGCACAUAAAGAGAUGUUCUGUGGGCCUUUUUAGAAGAUAAGCGAGAGCCUGGAGACAUGAUUUCUGAAAGUUUUUCUUCUCCAAAGACAUAAGAAAACAGGUCUCCCUAUGACUCACCUUCAGAAUCAGAAUGCAGAUGCCCUCAGGGGUUUAGAGAAGAAUCGUGGUAUUAUAGAGGUUGUGACGCCUCUCUAAAACUUAGCUAAACAAGAGUCUAAUGGGUAGAAAAGCUAUUAGAGAUGUGUCAGCAAAAGUGAAAGGAACACCCAGCCAUAGCUACGAAUACAAUAUGCACAAGAUCCUCUGAUCCCCAUUUCAUUCUAUGAAAAGGUAAACUCCCUAAAAUGAUUAAAUAAUUUUGUUUAUAAUUAUGGAUUGAAUUUGGCAAAUUUCUUACAUGUCCCAUUUUUAAAGGUGUAAUAAAUAAUUUUCAUUACUCUUCAACAGGAUAUUGCAAGUUAGAGAGACCGUUGUUCACAAUUUCAGUGCUGGAACAUAGACGUGGCUUUGUUUUGGUACAUUUCUGUGUAAUUUUUCCAUUCUUAAUUUUCUGUGUACUUCACCUUUUGCAUAGAGGGUUGUGGCUGAAGGUAGGUGCUCUUUUUGUUCAUUUCAUAUUUUUCCUGUAAAUGCUCCUGAACUCUGCUGAAGAACUACUGUUAUUUUUUUUCCUUAACUAUGAAAAAACCCAAUAUGAAUAGUUUGUAAGAAAAAAUAUCUGAAAAGAUUACUUUCUGUUGAAAUGAACCCACAAAUCCCAGCAGGUUCUUAAUCCUAGAAUGUUGAUUCAGGUGUAGAUGAUUUACUGAUAAACACUAAAACUGCUCCUGUCACAAAAAGUGUGCCUUUAAAUAUUAAAUAAUUAAAAGUGCACCUUUUAAUAUUCUUGUGUUUUCUGCAUUAUGCUAUCUGGAGAUGUUAACACAGUCACAUGAUAUGUUCUGUAUCAGCUUCAUAUUUACAUUUGUUUAUGCAUAUGAUUUAUCUUUGUCUAAUUUACAUAUCUAACACAUUUUCCUAUAUUAGCUUUCCCUCCUCCUCCCUCCCCCACCAUUCACCACAAAUAUGAAAAACUUUAACAAAUAAAGAUCAUAUGAAGGGUAUUGUUGUUCUGCACUCUAAAUAUGUCUGCAAAUGUGUUUUUUGUCCAAGUUGCAGAGUACAGGGAUGGGGAAGGUUUCAAUUAAUUCAGCAUCUCUUAAAUAGGCUGAAAUAUUGCCUGAUUUCAGUGUGAAUGAUCUGGUGGAUGUAGUAGUAGACCUGGCUUGCCAAUGGUUUUCCACAGCAAUAUGAUGAGGCUCUGAAGCUGUCAGGACACCAGAUUAAAACUAGGGUGCUGGUGUUGGUGAGGCUCUGAGUGCAGCGUGUCCCCCUGUGCCAACAGAGGGCAUUAUGCACCCACAGAGCAAAGCUGUCCUCGGGUGCUACCAGCAAUCCACCUGCUGCUUGUCUGGCUUUACUGUUAUGGUGUUUUUCCUACUGUCUUAAACACUGAGUAAAAAAAAAGCAUUUUUGGAUUUAAUUGGGGCAGAUGUUGGUUUACAGAAUUUUUGAAAGUAGCAUAAAUAUCAGGGAAAAAAAUUCUCUCUCAAUGUUUCUCUACUUCUGUUCCAGUUCAGCUUGGGGGACAGAAAACCCAUGCAUGUUUAAGAAAAACAGUGAUAUGAUAUCCUGAGUAAUUUAUUGUUCUUAGCUGACAGCUGUAUUUUGCACAAAUCUUUUUCAAAAGUCUGCUGAGUUCCCUGUUCUGCAAGAUCCGCUGGUCUUCUGUGGCUGUCAGAAGUCCAGUGAUCUCAGUAAUUUUUGCAAGCAGCUAGAAGUCCCUUCCCACAGAGUUCCUUAAGAGAUGGUUCCUUCUGAAUGUGCUUAGACAUUCAGCAUUUUAUAAUCAACAUAUAAUUGUAUAUAAUGUAAUGUAUUACUGUACAGAAUCUGUAAGACUUUUUUUUCUUUAAAGAGCAAAUCAAAUAGAUCAA